rnacentral:tmRNA from 1 species
GGGGUUGUUUUGGAUUCGCUAUGAUUCACAAAGCUUUGUAAGCACGUAGCAGUAGACUGCUUUAAAAACGUCGAGGUUUAAAUAACCGCAAACAAUACACAUUUAUUUGCACGCUCUAACAACAUGAGCGCUGCAUUCGCUUGCUAAUAAUAAUAUAAGCGGCUCACCCUAUUAGUUUCCUAUGCUUUUAGGCUUGAGUUUCAUUACAGUAGGAUAUAUCAACCUUGUGCUACUCUAACAAGAAUUGAUGAAUAUAAUAGAGUGUAGUUAGUCUUUGGUUUGUUUGUUCGCUUAGGGCUAAUGAAGAUUUAGGAUAAACUAAACGUGUAGAAAGCAUAGUAGCGUGGGUUGUAUACCGGGGUUCGAGUCCCCGCAGCUCCACCA